GCCUAUGGCCAGACUGGACUGACUGCAGCCGAUCCAGUCCGAUCUCAGAAGUUAAGUAGUCCUGAGCCUGGCUAGUACGUGGAUGGGAGUCCCCCUGGGAAUCCUGGGUGCUGUAGGCC
rnacentral:rRNA from 1 species